UACCUCAAUACCAACUUAAAAGAAUGCAUCAGGGUGAAUAAAUUUUUUUUUAUGUUAUAAGCUAAAGUUACUCAUUCACAAACAAAAAGCACUGGUAUUUCGUAGCACGUUUUCAAAAGCAUUGACGAGUGCUUACGUUUCGGUGUGUUUAAAAGUAGAAGUACUUGAUUCUGCUUUUACAAUGCCGGAUCAGAUGUUUAAAAUUAUUGUUUAGUUUGUGCAUGCAGUAUUUUUUACCAUUGAUAAUCCUCUCAACCUAUAUAACUUGAUUUAUUUUUUUUAAAGUCAGCAAUGCAUUUGUUUAGGAAAAAGAAGAAAGAGAAAGAUCGAGAAAAAGAGAAAAGGAAGGAAAAAGCAAGAAAAAAGAGGAAGGAGAAGUCAAAGAAAAAAAUAAAGACAAGGAAGCAGAGGCUGAUGACCAAGAGCUAAACAGCCUACUCACAAAAAUCUACACGUUUGAAGAAGGUUUUACGAAUUUAUUCAUCUAGAAUUUAGAAAAAGAGCGAAGAGAAAAAGUCGAAAGAUAAAGAAUCAAGUGACGAAUCAUCACAAAAGUUAAAGAAAAAAGAAAGUUUGUGAAUACUUUACACGAACUCGUGUACUGUCACCAAAUAUACAUUCCACAGAUAUUCUCACUUUGCUCAUGGCCUCAUUUAACGGUCUUUGAUUAGUAGUAUAUUCGCAUCCUUAAAGGGCCAUAGUAUUUGUGGACGAAUGAGGUAUGCAGGAUAACCAUAAAUGCACAAUAACUGUUCAUGAGGAGAAUGUGAAUGUUGUAAACUUUGAAGUAAUCUGGAAGUAUUCAAAAGAGCACAAUCGCGUCUCCUACCCUCCGUAGGUCCAUACAAACUUGCAAUUUAACCGUUUAGUCCAACAACGCUUUAAAAUUUAAAAGAAUAUAUCUGUUUAUUGCCAUUGUAUAUAGCUUGUUGACAUCUUUUGGUUCGACAUAUUGGACGGAUAGUUCCAUCAACAAAUAAUCCCCAGCAGAAUUUUACUCAUGACCAGCAUCAGCAUACUCUCUGAGCUUUAUUAAAGCUAAGCAAUUUUUGAGGUCGCGCAAUUUGUACUUAAAAUGCUGAUAAAUCAAAUUUACACGAAUUUUAAAAUCAUACUUAGUUCUAGAACGGAUCUCCCAAAUCGAUGGAUCAUGUCACCAUACCCACAUGGAUAAGCGGUUUUAUAUAUAUCAUACGGUUGUUUUGUUUUGUUUGAAGAUGAGAUUGUAACAGGUACUGGAGAUGAGCAAUAACUUAUUUUGCUACUUCCCUCUCGGAAAAGUCCGCAAAAGUGUAGAAAAUGUAUAGCAAUGCCCACAUGGACAGAGUUUUUGUUGUUUACACAGUUUAACUCAGCAAACGUUUUUGAUUCAGAUAGCGUUGAUCAUCACAUGUCCUGUGAUCGAUGAUGGAACUCACGCAAACGGGCAAAGGUUCCGGCAAGCAAAAAUAACGCGCAGAUCAAAAUAGAAGUCCGUAAAUUCCUGUAUUAUAAUAAGGGAAGCCCUAGGUGCAACGUAAAAGACGAGUGCAUAUUGAAACUGGCGCAAGAUCUAUGCUGAAAUUUGCGCAGGACUGUAUUUACUAUGAUUAAAAUUUACCACAGGCUUUUUAAAAGCGUUGAUCAAAACAUCCGGUGAAGUGUUCAUCUUA